UGAUAACAGGCUCGAUUUUUGUUCCUUUUCAAAUAAACCAAGACCAUCUUGGAGAAGUCUCAGUUUGCCUGGAGAACUCAAACCCACUGAUGUUCCUUUUCAAACCUGGAGGUCCCAUCUCUUCUGUCUCGCAGUUAACUUAAAAAACAGGAAUGGGAGAAGUCGGCAUUCAGACCAGACCUGAAACUGAAGGGUAUAGAGCUGCGACAUUACAAAGAAAAUCACUGGAAGAAGGCCCAAAAGGAACUUUUCUUCCUUGACAGUUUUUCUUUUUGCAUUAAAUGGGGUGGCAGUUGGCCCCAAACUUU